CAAGAAAUUCACCCACUACCUCAACUGGAUCGGGAUCCCAACAAAAGUAUUAAACGUGGGGCAGCGAGAGGUUGUGCAGACCUACAAGAACUUUGAGUUUUUCCUACUGGACAACCAGGAAGCAAUGAAGAUACGAAAAUGUGACAACUAUAUUAAAGGAAGUUUUAUCAACCCAUCAAUCAGUUGAUGAGAGAAGGGGAUAUGGAUAAAGGAUGCUUCUAGCAGCUUGGAAUAGUCCAAUUUUGAUUUGAAUUUGAAAAAAAUUU